rnacentral:lncRNA from 1 species
AGGUAGUUCAAUACCAUAUUGGUCAGUGCAGUUCUAGUGAGUGUGUUAGGUGAAGGUGACAGGUUUGAAUAUGCUUACUACACUCAGGCAGCAAAAAUACAAGGUAAUCUCCACCUACCAGAGACCGUGAGGUCAUACAGGCCAGGAAACCUUCAGGGAAAAUUUUGGGAUCUUCACUGAAGAUGGCAGUUCCAUGAGCAACCAAGAUGAAAUCCAUCCUACUGCCUUAGAGUAGGGUAUGCCUUAGGGAGUAGGCAAGACAGAGUAUAUUUGGAGCCAAAUUGGGUUUGCUAGCUUCUAUCUAGGCUUAUUGUAAAGCUGUCCUCAGGCCUGCAUUGUGAUGUCUCAGACCACAGAACUCUCUGUGGUAGUCAGGGGCUGACUAAGCUAAGCUCUUAAGGCUCUGCAGGAAUAGAUCUUCUUCUUUCAUGAACAAUCUCAAAUGAAUACUUGGUGGAGAAAUAUAUGGCUUGCACUGUACAUCUCUAGUACCACUAGAGAACUGUCUUCCCCGAAAUUGGUCCCUGGUGCCAAAAAGGUUGGGGACUGCUGCAAAAUGGGACACAGCGUAUGUGCUUGGACCACACCAGGGCACGGUGUGAGGAGCCGUCAUGCAGAGGUGUGAGAAAGCAAAAGUUCCUUCUGAGGAUCUUAUUCAAGUGGAAAUCUAGAUCUCAAGUUCAUUUCAAAAAUAACGACAGCCUGAAUAGCACCUACAGGUGUCUCCGAUUUGCCAGUCAGUCUACCCGAAGCCAUGGAAUCAAAGAUGAAAAUGACAGGACUCCUGAUAAGAUCUGAC